CUUGAGUCUUGGUUAAACUUCAGAUUUUCUGCCACCUCAUUUUUAAGAGUCUGGCCUAUAGUCCAUGGUGAAACCCCAUCUCUACAAAAAUUAGACAGGCAUGGUGGUGUGCACCUGUAAUCCCAGCUAUUCAAGAGGCUGAGGCAGGACAAUCACUUGAACCGCGGAGGUGGAGGUUGCAGUGAGCUGAGAUCGCACCACUGCACUCCAACCUGGGCAACAAAGCGAGACUCUGUCUCAAAAAAAAAAAAAAGAAGAAGAAAUAAAACUCAAAAGAAACUAAACCUGCUCAGAGGAUUUCAACAUACAGCCAAGCAACCCAAAGUGAUUUCUGUAUUUCUCAAUCCAGCCCAAGAGUGGAUUGGCAGGAAGGGUGCAGGACCUAACCCAAUGACAAUGCUCGCAGGAGGAGCCCUCCAGAAGGCAACAGCCCCACAGGCCUCCUCACUCAGAAGUCUUUGAAGGACGCAUGUCAAGCACAGGAUGUGUGCUUUUUCCUACUGUAAACAAGCAAGUCUCUAAAAAUAUUCAUGAGAUUUUUCUACUAGGGAAAAAGAAUAAUAUUCCACUGAACUGAAGACCACAUAUGAAACAGGGGAAGGACGCUGGAAAUAAAGCUCCAUACAUAGCUCGGUACUAGUAGAUCAGCAUGUUAACUAGGUUAAUUCCCAACUGUCCUACCACCAACUACCUAGCACGAGGCUCUCAACAACCUGCAGCCAGAUCCCAGGUGGUCCCAAUGGCUACAUUCAUUGAAUACAGCCUGAGCAAUACUCUCACUCCACUCUUCACUCAGCUGACCCUGUAUUCUGUGAAUUCUGCCCUAGCUCCAAACCUCUUGGUACAAAGGAACUCUCUACGUUUAGUUCUCUCGACAACUACCUACUAUAAGAUGAAGUUUCCAGGAACUCAUGUGAUCAUGAGACUCUGCAGUCACUUCAGGGGGUCUUGUUGACUGGCUCGGGGGGCUGGUGUCAAGCCCAAGCAGAAGAGCCCUCAGAGCAAGCAGCCCUGCUUCUGUGGAUGCUGGAUGGCAUCAUCACCAGGCGGGUCCUUCAGAGUACUGGGAGCAGCAUGCAGCCCGAUAGAGUUGGCAAACGUGAAUCUACUAGAAGAUUGACAUGGAGAUCGACAACAGGAUGGUGGACCUCAUGGCCCACACGGCCUCUAAGGAAUAAGACCCCCAGACCACUAGCCCCAGCAAAAACACAAGAGGAAGAGAGAGGCCCUCAGCUGCUGGUGAGUCCCUGACGUGUCCAGUUCCCUGCCACACUGAGAAUCUCCCCUCCCCGCAAUUUCCAUGCAGACCCCCUGAAAAGGGAAGGGCCUUGGAAGCCCCACCUUGUCAUCUACCAUCAAUAAAGUCCCCUAUGCUCAGCCAAAAAAAGAAAAAAAAAUUUUUCCUAAUUCUAAAAAGUGUUUGCAGAUUAUAAAAAUUCACAUAAGAUGGCCAGGCGCGGUGGCUCACGCCUGUAAUCCCAGCACUUUGGGAGGCCGAGGCAGGUGGAUCACAAGGCCCGUCUCUACUAAAAAUACAAAAAUUAGCCGGGCAUGGUGGCAGGUGCCUGUAGUCCCAGCUACUCAGGAGGCUGAGGCAGGAGAAUCACUUGAACCCGGGAGGCGGAGGUUGCAGUGAACCAAGACCACGCCAUUGCAUUCCAGCCUGGGUGACAGAGUGAGACUCCAUCUCAAAAAAAAAAAAAAAAAAAAAAUUCACAUAAGAUGAAAAAAACAAAAAGACCAUGAAAAUCAAAGUGAAGAAAGAACAAGGGCCCAUAAGUAUGAUGAAGCCAGGAAGCAUUAGUAGAGAGAAAUGAAUGCAUGAGAUAAGGGGUUCAUGAUUAUUAAAGGUGCUUCACUUAAUUAGACUCUGAGCUUCUUAGUGCCCUAAACAAAGAGGGAAACAUGACUAGUUACAGGAUGUAUGCUGUCCUUAAGGUACAGCUGUUGUUGAGCUACAGUAUUACUCAGUGUCUUCUGUAGGAGAACAAAUAAUCCGUGUCAGGACAACAGCUAAUAAGUUUUUACCUUAAGGACUCUGACACUGGGACUGUUGGUUCUCCUAUAGAAGACACUGAGUAGUACUGUAGCCCGAACUCUCAUAAUACCAUGAUAAAUACAACCCUGAGUAUCAAAUUACCUUUUUAAAUAUAACAUCCCUCAAUACAAUCCAAAGGUAUAUAAGGGCUUAUGACUCCAGAACAACCCCAAGGGAUGAAGUACAGCAGAAAAUACAAACAUCACCUCUCAUAAUGGAGCUAAGAGCAUACAAAUCACCUUUUCUAGUUUUUUUCUCUGCCUCAAUCACUGCCUUAUCCGAGUUGAUCCCUUUAAUUUGAAGAAUUUAGUUGUAUUAAAUUCAAAUUGUUUAUAUUUAUUGAAACAUUAUCUUCUACUUUAUCCCCCCAAAUUGUAUAACAUUUCCUUUGUUACAUGUUUUUACAAGCGAUCUAAAACUUUCUGUAUAUAUUACCUCCCUAACUAUAAACUCCUCAAGGGCAAUGACAAUUUAUAUAUUUCAGUCAACAAUAAAUGUUAACUAAGAAAUUGAUGGUAGAGAAGAAAAUAUGACAUAAACAUAAGCGUUGUGAUACUAUCAUGGGUAGCAUAACAUUCACAUUAAAAUAGAAAAAUAGGGCCGGGUGUGGUGGCUCACGCCUGUAAUCCCAGCACUUUGGGAAGCCGAGGAGGGCGGAU
rnacentral:lncRNA from 10 species